rnacentral:misc_RNA from 1 species
AGGAAGGGGUUACAUAUGAAAAUUUUCCGCUAAAAUAAAAAACUUUGUUUUGCUGACCCAUCCCUCAAGUUUAUUUUCUUCCUUUCACAAGCUUAAGUAAACAUUCCGUAAAGGUAUAUUUGAAGCGGUACAACCCGCGGGCGGUGGCCUACAUAUUUAUGGAAGCGAGUGUACAUCGUGCCUAUACCAUGGUUAUGUGAAUCCAUUAGCAGAGGCAUCGAAAAAAGGUAGAAUUUAUUGCAAUAAAAUCUUUCGUUAAUUAAGGGGCACAAUCGCUAUUGCAAAGAAAUCUGUCAAAAGCAUUGACCAUUGUGUUAAGCCUUUUCAAUACAUGAUCUGAAUGGCAAAUGGAGGUGAAGGGUUGAUCUGGGACUUGACAUGUUACUUUUUGAUAGCCAUGUGAUACUCUUGUGCUGUGGUUAUACUGUGAAUGUUGGUUCUAAAAAAUGUACACUGCAGUGACAUUUGAGGUAACACUCCUGUUAUUUAUUUGUUUGAACCAAGUUUGGAUGUGACAAUGCCCACCAAUGAAGCAAACACUCUGAAUUCUCUUGUAUGGAGUUCCUUCAGCCAUCUUCCAUCUCAUUGCACCAUGCAUUGGAUGAAGUGCCCAGUACUCAAGGAAUCAAAAGUGUUUUGUUUGUCUGCUUUGGAAAUAGUUAAUGUGCUUCAGGAGUUGCAUUGACUAAGGAAGCAAAACAAAUUUUUCUUCUACCGAUUGGUCAAGUGUUUGAUGACCAUUCUGAUCUUCUGAUUCCUCAUUCUACAGGCCUUGCAGUUGCAGUAGUUUGUAGUUACAAGGAAUUAGCUCAAGAGUUGUCUUUCAGACUGAUGGUCUCCAGGUUGAUAUAAAAAAUGUUCACCAGCUUGUUGGAUUCUCAUGGCUUUCCUGCAUAUCCACUGUGCAAAACUGCACCAUCCAAAGUAUGAAUAGGGCUAUAAGUAAAUGUGGAAGCACUUUUAACUUCUUCUUUGUCCAUGGUUACUUAUAGCCUUUGUUUUAUGCCAGAUAUUGCAAUCUACUGUGUCUCACCAACACAAGAAGAAAUGCACAAUUCUCAGCUGAGUUUCUCUGUUAGGAAGAGAUUUAAAAGAUACAUUAUAGAUUGAGAGAUAUAUCAUCAUCAUUGUAUAGCAUGAGGGAAAAUGUGGGAACGCGACAGUGGACCUCCCAACAGUGGCCCCCGAGGGUACCCCGACACCAGCCCCCCCUAAAAUUAGUUCCCUGUUAAUUUUUUUAGCAAACAUUGAUUUACUUUAAUUUAGUAUUCGUUUGUUACAUUACACGUACGUCGUUAUGUUACAAACAAAUUGCUAAAAAUUGGUUUCGUAUGCCUACACGACACAGGCCCCCCCCCCCCCGCUUCUAUUGCCGGGGGGCUGUUGUCGGGGUACCCUCGGGGGCCACUGUUGGGGGGUCCAAUGACCGCAUGGUGGAAAAUGUGCUAGAUGGAAGACUUAGGUUUAAUAUUUAUUUCAAAUGCUUUGCAAUUUCUAGUUCAACAACCAGUAAUAGUAUGUGUUAUUCAAUCACCUUGUUUUGGAUCUAAAUACGUUGAUUCUGCAGGGUUUCUUGAAUGUAAGCUGUUGUUAAUGAACAGACAGUCAGAAGUCAAACAGAACCAUAGGCAUCGCACUGUACUAUACCUGGAAUUCACGACAGCAGGGGUUUAUUACUUUUUGAGAAUUAAACAAAAGGUAUCUUCAAUUUCAGAGCAAAGUUGAUGGAAGACUUAUGGUGUAUUGUCCAGCAUCCCCGCAAAAAACAUUAGUGAUUGUUAUGGGCCAACGGAAGGGGGAAAAUGCUGAUGGUCUUCUUUCCAUGGCCCAUUUUCUUGAUAGUUCAACAAAAACCUUAAACUACGCGGAAAGAAUCAUAAGUUGCUGGCCGAUUCAACCGUCAUGUUUCUACUUGGGCUUAUAAUAUGCACAAAUGGAGGCAUGUACAGUAUGUCUUACAGUUGAUCGAUACAUAUGCAGCUACGUUUUCCGCCCUGAUCAUCGGAAUUGCUGAAGUGUGCGUCAUCGCAUGGAUUGCCGGAGAAAUAGGACCCAAAAUAGGCCAUGGAGAAAUAGGACCUCUUUUUCUGACUUUCUUUUUAGGGUCCUAUUUCUCCGCUAGAUGGGUCCUAUGUCUCCCUCCUGUCAUUAAUGGCUGCCUAUGUUUCACAGCGUUGCUAAACUAAUUGUUUUAAAUAUAAUUAACUGAAUUACCCUAACCUAACCUACGAAACCUUUAUAUUUUAUUCUAUUAUUUAUUUCUUAUAUUUAUUAUCUAUCUAUUUUAUAUUAUUCGAUGGCAUCGAUUCCUUGAUGACAUCAAACAAAUGCUUGGGCAUGACGCACCACCACGCUGAAAUUGGCCAUUUUGGUUUUCACUUAGGUGAACUUCCGAACCAGUUCCGACCACUUACGUACGGCGAUUACACUUAACCUUUGGAGGCGACUGUCAUAGGAUUUCUGAUUGCGUCGUCUUCUGUGGCCAUGGUUCCAAUCAUGGCUAUCUACAAGGUUUUCCAAUUGGAUGGGCCCAUUCUAGAGCGUAUUCGAGUUCUUCUGCAACCAAGCAGUGAUUGGGGCCAGGCUUUAGAAAAUUCAUCAUAUCGACUAUCGAGGCUGGAGCUACGACUCACACCGAUUCACAAUUGCCACUGGCUUUACAUAAGUACAGAUUCGAAGAGUUGGAAUUGGAGUUGACUACUGUUUUGGAACGCGAAUCGGAAAGCGACAAUUGGAUUUAUAUGAAAUGUACGGCGCCCAAUUGAAGCGACCAUCCAUCUGGGACUGUUGAUCCCAACUCAGUUUACGAAGCGGAUGCCUCGCUAUACGAUCCAGUAAUCGUUACUUGCGGUCUUCCAGUGACGGGAAUUUGUUAUGCGUGCAAUUACUCAACAAGGAAUUAGGUUGUUAAAGCAAGUUUGACUUUUUACGAUGCUUCCACUUACGGGCGUGGUCGCCAAAAUUUGUCGUUGUGUCGGACUGCUAAUCCGGAAGGAAAAAAUCGAAUUAAAGUCGAUACGUUUGUCAAAGUGGCAGAUAGAACGGAUAAACGAUUUAAAUCACACUUGGGAUAAUCUACUUCUCGGACAAGGUACUUUGAGGCCGGAUUUAUUUGAGUCCACUUCGCACAUGGCUUCUUCACGCGGUUUGUCAAUUCGAAUCAUUAGCGCCAAAAAACCGUUCAUGGAAGCUGAUUUCGGUGAGACGCAAGUGCUGAUUUGGCUGAUGGUCGAUUAUGCCAACAUGGCAGCCAAGGAACAUGCCUUGCUCAAUCGGAUUGAUAUCGCGACGUUGGAAGAAGAGCGUUUUCUUCUGGAAGAACUGUCCAUUCGCGAGCAGUAUGUUGCUACGCUACUGUCUAUUCGCGCUGUCGGUGUUCAGGGAGAUUGCCGAACUUACAGCUAUUGCGUACCACUGAGCUCUUAUCAGACACAACCUAACUGGAAUGAUCUAGCUACCUACGCCCGCUUAAUACCGCGUGCGUGUCAUAAUGUCAAUCGUGUUUGCUACAUAUUCGGAAAGGCUGUGCGUGAAUCGGUGACAGACGUUACACCUACCUACUUAACGAAUAACAUUUUGGCGAUCUUCAGGGAAGCGGAUUAUUUGGCAAAUAAAAUAUUACGGGAUUCGGGUUGCCAUGAGAAGCUAGCGCAGAUGCCAAUCGUCUGGAUCCCUUUCACUUUUAUCACGAUUCGAGUCAACGCAUUCCAUCAUGCCAGUGAUCAGUCAUUUUUCGAUCAUUCUUUUCACAGGAUUUUAUGACUGGACUUCCUGCAAUUCCUGAUACCCACUUGCCCCAAGAGUUACGUAAAAAAUGGGUACAUUUUUUUAGCAGAUCUUGCUGUAAACAUGGAUACCGCUAAUUAGGUUGUAGACAAGAUGGUUGAAGCCGUCUUAACAGUUCCAGGAAUUUUCAGGGUCUUGUAUGAUCUGACGGUGAAACCACCCUGGACAACGGAGUGGGAAUGAUUUGAUUUGCGAACGUUGCUUAGGCAAAUGAUCUCCGCCACUCUUUACAGGACACGGAUGCGGAAUUCUAUAACUGGCCAGAUUUAGAUGGGAUACAUUAUAAUAGUGGAUUCAGUAUAGACUUUUAAAAUUGAAAAUUUAUCAUCUUUGUCGUCUCGUGAAAAUUUCUUUAACUCGCUUCUUAGGAAAAAAUCACGUGAUGACUUGUUGAGUAUUCCUUAAAAUACAUGCACACUUGUCGGAAAUAAUGGGUGCAUUUGGUUUUCGUGGAACAAGUUAAACAUUGUUAAUGUGCAGCUAGGUGGGUUGUUGUUGCUCUCCGAAGGCUAUUCGAGGCGUUAUGCCAUUUCCUGAGAUUAAACAUUCGGGAAAUGCUGUAAAUAUUCGCAAAUUGUUAAGAUCUAUUCAGAAUGGUACCAUAAAGUAUGACUGUAGGAAAGGGUACGUCGGCUUCUAAAAGUGAAGAACAGCUCUGACGUCUUUGGUAAGCGGAAAAGGUACUGCUGAUUCAAGCGUCAGAAGACGGUUUUAAGAAUGGACUCUUUCCUUUGCCCAAUGAAUCUGUGCUUGGAAUUGGCAGGUGGCGUUUAGCAGUGGCACUCAAUCUUUAUUCUUAAAACCCAGAGGUGUUCUUCACUUUUCAGGGGGAUUUAAUGAUGAUACUUGUUGGGUUAUCCAUGAAGAAUACCAAUACAUGGAUAAAUGGAGGGUAAUAAACGUAAAAACUGUAAUUCCUCGUGGCAUUUUCAUUCACGCAUACGCGGCAGUUCGUGAGCAGACGAACCAUUGAAAGGGCUUUGCGCAGUCUAGCUGCAUCCAGCCAGAUACUAGUAGAACCCAAAACAUUGUGUUGACAAGUACUGUCAUAUUUCGGUUGCAGGUUUUCACUAAAUAGCAAGCUGAUCCUACGAGCUACGGCAGUUUUACCUACAAAUGUUUAGCGUUUCGUGCUGCAACUAGUAGUGAUAUUCUGGAUGUUAUGCCUAAAAUUGGAAUUCAGCUAUCAGAGGUUAGCAAAAUUGAGGUGGAAACUCUAGAUGGCGUUGAUGUACGUCUAUGAUGAAGAUUAUGAGUGACAAGUUAAUUGGGUGUUUGUCACUUUAUCCUGUUUUGUGUUUCAAAGGAUUUUUCGUCAAAAAAUUUACGCUAUGCCAGCUGCGAACCAGCAGCCUGUAUUCCUGCUAUCAAUGUACCACAAGAGAUCCUGACACUUUAAGAAGGCCACUAUUGCUUACAUGAAGAUCACCAUCCAGUUCAAUCAACGACAGAGUCUUCAUCUACUUUGUGUUGCUAAACAUCAGCCCUCAACAUCCCAAGUAUCCAGAUUUCCAAGUUUCUCUGAUUAGCCAACCAUCAUCCAUACCCUUCAGCUCUUCAGUGUGACUUAUCUUACUCUCUUCCUAGUCUGCGGAAUGCCAACAUUGAAUAAGGUUCCUCAUCAUUGCCUUUCCAUGAAAAUCUUCAUUGUUAAUCCUGCUGUUCUCCUUACCAUUACUUAGCCAGCUCACAUGGAUGGGAUUUAACUAAGAAAAACUUCUGUGUUAGGACUGCAAAUAUUCAUCUUCCUCUGGUACAACACUGCCGUUUUGACAAUUUUGGUAGUUUCUCUCCCAGUGAACCAUACGCAACUACAUUUUCUUCAUCUUCCUGUCGUUGUUGUCUACGACUUCACCUCAUCGCUGUCUUCGUUGACGUCUUCGCCUUCAUCUCCGUCUCGUCGUCUUCGCCUUCAUCUCCGUCUCGUCGUCUUCGCCUUCAUCUCCGUCUCGUCGUCUUCGCCUUCAUCUCCGUCUCGUCGU